rnacentral:lncRNA from 1 species
GCUGGUGCGAGGCAACCGCAGUUAAGGCGCACUGAGCCUGCGCCCCCAGCCCCAUCCCUGAAAGAAGCCGCCAAGGGCAAAACCUGUGCAGACCCAGGCAGACUUCUCUGCCAGAGAACACGAACCGAGAAUCUGAAGAGAUGGAGCUCCCGUGACUCCCUGGGCGUGGAGACUGCAUGCUGCCCAUGGGACAGAUGUGGAUUCAGCAGAGCCACGGAGUUUCCAGAAGGCCGCUGCGUAACUGCCAACCAAGCAAGGAAUGAAAGGUGGGAAGAGCACCACAACUUCGAGAUCCUUCCUCCGAGUGAACUACUCUAUUCCCAUUGGUUUAAAGACUCUGAGCGAGGCAGUCCCACUGUUGUGAGGACAAGGCUUAAAAACCGCCCUGUACCGAGCAGGUUUUAUGGAAGUGGGGUCAGAGUGAUGAAUGACGACGGGUGCGUCCAUCUCCAGACGCGGCACUUACUGCAAGUCCGUUAAAGAGUCUGCUGCAAGGCCACAGCCCCUAGAACAGAUGCACAAUUCCUGCUCCCAGAGGCCCCGUGUGCAGGGAGAAAGAGGCAGAGGGAGAGGGGUCCCUUCUGGCUCCCCCCAUGGCCAGGUGAGCUCACCCCAACUCUAGCGAAUAGAGACACCGGUUUCAUUCAGUGUAGGUAUGGACUUGUGAAGGGUCAGAGCAGGCCAAAGAUGGACCGGGCUAUCUCUGGAGGGAGUGAGGAGUGUGUCCAAACACAGACCGGAUGACCACUGGGUAGAGAUAACGGAGGGAGGAGUCGCACAUCAGAGAGAUGUUAGACCAGAUGACCUUUACAGUUCCCUUCAAAUUGAGAAUCUACUUAAACUCAGGGAAACUGGGUUUGAUCCCUGGGGGAACACAUGGACUUGUAAGCAUUUGAACUUAUCAUUUUGUUGUGGUUUCUCAUCUGGGAGUACUAGUAUUCCUUGCUUAAUUUAGACGUGACAAGUCAACAGUGUUAAAUAUGGUCAAACUUUACAUAAUUUAUUCUUCCCUUGAAGUGGAGCCAAGACAACCUCAGGGCCUUUGCACUUACUGUUCUCCACUCCUUUCAUUCAGAUUGUGCUCAAAUGUGGCCUUAUCAAAGAGGUCAUCCCUGAUCUCCUCCCCUAUAAAAUGUCACCCCCCCUUGACCUUCUUGUUGUCACUUUCUACACUUUCCCCUCCCUCCACAUGACACAUUAUAUAUUCAUUUGUUCAUUUUUGGGCUCUCCUUGAUGAAAAAUAAACACCAUGGAACAAAGCUUUGUCUGUUUGGUUCAACGUAUUUCAGAUCCUACAACAGCACCUGGCACAUAGGAAGCACUCAAUAAAUGUUUGUUGAAUGAAUAA